UUCCGGUUGAUCCUGCCGGACCUGACUGCUAUCGGAUUGAUACUAAGCCAUGCGAGUCAUUGUAGCAAUACAAGGCAUACGGCUCAGUAACGCGUAGUCAACCUAACCUAUGGACGGGAAUAACCUCGGGAAACUGAGAAUAAUGCCCGAUAGAACACUAUACCUGGAAUGGUUUGUGUUCCAAAUGAUUUAUCGCCGUAGGAUGGGACUGCGGCCUAUCAGUUUGUUGGUGAGGUAAUGGCCCACCAAGACUAUUACAGGUACGGGCUCUGAGAGGAGUAGCCCGGAGAUGGGUACUGAGACACGGACCCAGGCCCUAUGGGGCGCAGCAGGCGAGAAAACUUUGCAAUGUGCGAAAGCACGACAAGGUUAAUCCGAGUGAUUUGUGCUAAACGAAUCUUUUGUUAGUUCUAGAAAUACUAACGAAUAAGGGGUGGGCAAGUUCUGGUGUCAGCCGCCGCGGUAAAACCAGCACCUCAAGUGGUCAGGAUGAUUAUUGGGCCUAAAGCAUCCGUAGCCGGAUCUGUAAGUUUUCGGUUAAAUCUGUACGCUUAACGUACAGGCUGCCGGGAAUACUGCAGAUCUAGGGAGUGGGAGAGGUAGACGGUACUCGGUAGGAAGGGGUAAAAUCCUUUGAUCUAUUGAUGACCACCUGUGGCGAAGGCGGUCUACCAGAACACGUCC
rnacentral:rRNA from 1 species